rnacentral:rRNA from 1 species
ACUCCUACGGGAGGCAGCAGUGGGGAAUAUUGGACAAUGGGCGCAAGCCUGAUCAAGCCAUGCCGCGUGAGUGAUGAAGGCCCUAGGGUUGUAAAGCUCUUUCACCGGUGAAGAUAAUGACGGUAACCGGAGAAGAAGCCCCGGCUAACUUCGUGCCAGCAGCCGCGGUAAUACGAAGGGGGCUAGCGUUGUUCGGAUUUACUGGGCGUAAAGCGCACGUAGGCGGACUAUUAAGUCAGGGGUGCAAUCCCGGGGCUCAACCCCGGAACUGCCUUUGAUACUGGGAGUCUUGAGUUCGAGAGAGGUGAGUGGAAUUCCGAGUGUAGAGGGGAAAUUCGUAGAUAUUCGGAGGAACACCAGUGGCGAAGGCGGCUCACUGGCUCGAUACUGACGCUGAGGUGCGAAAGCGUGGGGAGCAAACAGGAUUAGAUACCCGUGUAGUCCCAUGAU